AUGAACGCUAGCGGCAGGCUUAACACAUGCAAGUCGAGGGCAGCGCGGAUAGCAAUAUCGUGGCGGCGACCGGCGAAAGGGUGCGUAACGCGUGAGCAACUUGCCCGUAUCGUGGGGGAUAAGCGGUGGAAACGCCGUCUAAUACCCCCAUAACAACAGAGGCCGCAUGACCUUGUUUGAAAGCUUCGGUGGAUACGGAUAGGCUCGCGAGACAUUAGCUUGUUGGUGAGGUAACGGCUCACCAAGGCUACGAUGUCUAGGGGUUCUGAGAGGAAGGUCCCCCACAUUGGAACUGAGACACGGACCAGACUCCUACGGGAGGCAGCAGUGAGGAAUAUUGGUCAAUGGACGAGAGUCUGAACCAGCCAAGUCGCGUGCAGGAAGAAUGUCCUAUGGAUUGUAAACUGCUUUUGCAGGGGAAUAAAGUGCAUCACGUGUGAUGUUUUGUAUGUACUCUGCGAAUAAGGAUCGGCUAACUCCGUGCCAGCAGCAGC
rnacentral:rRNA from 1 species